UAUGUGAUCGUCUCUCGCAUAUCAAUAAGCGGAGGAAAAGAAACUAACAAGGAUUCCCCUAGUAACGGCGAGUGAAGCGGGAAGAGCUCAAAUUUGAAAUCUUAAAGGGUUUCCCUUUACGAAUUGUAGUUUAAAGAAGUGUUUUCUGUUGAGGUUUUGGUAAAAGUUCUUUGGAAUAGGACAUCAUAGAGGGUGAGAAUCCCGUAUUUGACCUUUACUUUCAACUUUGUGAUACACUUUCAAAGAGUCGGAUUGUUUGGGAAUGCAGUCCAAAAUGGGUGGUAAAUUUCAUCUAAAGCUAAAUAUUGGCGAGAGACCGAUAGCGAACAAGUACCGUGAGGGAAAGAUGAAAAGAACUUUGAAAAGAGAGUUAAACAGUACGUGAAAUUGUCAAAAGGGAAGCGUUUGACACCAGUGUUGUUUUUCUGAAAAUCAAUUAAAGAACUGUUUAUGCUAAGUUGUUUAGACUUUAUCAGCUAACUGUUUAGUUUUGAGCUUUUCUUUAAUGCACUUUUCAGUUAACAAGUCAACAUCAAUUUCUUUUGCUGUAAAAAAGCUUGAGGAAGGUGGCUUGAGAUUCGUCUUAAGUGUUUAUAGCCUCUUGCCUAUGCAGUCGGAGAGAUUGAGGUCUGCAGCGUAGAUCCUUCGGGGCUAAAUGCAUUUGUGCUAAGUUAUAGCAUUUUAUAGACAACUUGUUGACUAUGAUUUGUCUUGUAGCUUACUCGCUUAUGUUAUUUUACCUACGCUUAGGAUGUUGAUCUGUAGUGCGUGCGC
rnacentral:rRNA from 1 species